UACGAAGGGGGCUAGCGUUGCUCGGAAUGACUGGGCGUAAAGGGCGCGUAGGCGGCUUCUUAAGUCUGGUGUGAAAUCUCCCGGCUCAACUGGGAGGGUGCGCCGGAUACUGAGGGGCUAGAGUGUGGGAGAGGAAAGUGGAAUUCCUGGUGUAGCGGUGAAAUGCGUAGAUAUCAGGAGGAACACCGGUGGUGUAAACGGCUUUCUGGUCCGACACCGACGUUCAGGCACGAAAGCGUGGGGAGCAAACAGG
rnacentral:rRNA from 1 species